AGAGGGCGAAAUUAUCAUUGCUAAUUUGAUAUUGUAUUCUUUGUAAGUAAGUUUAUUGUUUCUUUGUCAUUAUAAACGCAAAUAGCGUUCAGCAUCAUCGAUCUUUCACGUGACCUCUGGCCUGGAUUUAAAAUUUUUACCGGUAUUUUCGAGUGCAUGGCGGCACGGAUUCAUUCGUUCGUGCGCUCAGGCUGGUUGCUUCUUUUUCGCUAAAACUAGUUUAUUGCGCUUCGAUGUCACGCGUUAUUUAACCUGGGGUGAAGUGACGUGUUUGCAAGCGGACAUGUAAGCCCGAAAGUUGGGUAUCGGUCGUGAGCCAUUCGGAACACGUCUGCAUCGAAACGGGAGCUGGAUUCUGGUGCGGCUGACAACGGCAAUAACGACAUGCAGUAAUGAGGAUGGCACCAGUAUAAAGCAACACACUCCACACACUAAACAGAAGCUGCUGCCUGCUACAACAAGGCCAUUGUGUGGACAUUGGCUGCUACUACAAGAGUCCAUGCCAAGCAUACCUUGGUCAUCACAGGAGCUCCUAUCCACACCAACAGAAAGGGGCUGGAGCUGAAUUUGCAAGGCUUUUACACCACGAACAAAGAAGCGCAUG